AGAGUUUGAUCCUGGCUCAGAACGAACGCUGGCGGCGUGCCUAACACAUGCAAGUMGAACGGAUUUGAGGGGCUUGCUCCUCAAGUUAGUGGCGCACGGGUGAGUAACGMGUAGAUWAUCUGCCUGAUGAUCCGGGAUAACACUUCGAAAGGGGUGCUAAUACCGGAUAAGCCCACGGGGUCUUUGGAUUYUGCGGGAAAAGRGGGGGACCUUCGGGCCUUCUGWCAUCAGAUGAGUCUGCGUACCAUUAGCUAGUUGGUAGGGUAAUGGCCUMCCAAGGCUACGAUGGUUAGCUGGUUUGAGAGAAUGAUCASCCACACWGGAACUGAGACACGGUCCAGACUCCUACGGGAGGCAGCAGUGGGGAAUUUUGCGCAAUGGGCGAAAGCCUGACGCAGCAACGCCGCGUGAGUGAUGAAGGCUUUCGGGUCGUAAAGCUCUGUCGAGGGGAAAGAAGUGUAUUGUGGCUAAUAUCCGCGAUACUUGACGGUACCCCUAAAGGAA
rnacentral:rRNA from 1 species